rnacentral:rRNA from 1 species
GCCCAAGAGAUCGGGAUAACACCUGGAAACAGAUGCUAAUACCGGAUAACAACAGAUGAUGCCUAUCAACUGUUUAAAAGAUGGUUCUGCUAUCACUCUUGGAUGGACCUGCGGUGCAUUAGCUAGUUGGUAGGGUAACGGCCUGCCAAGGCGAUGAUGCAUAGCCGAGUUGAGAGACUGAUCGGCCACAUUGGGACUGAGACACGGCCCAAACUCCUACGGGAGGCAGCAGCU